rnacentral:rRNA from 1 species
UUUAACCGGGGACCUUUAGGUUGGUGUGCCUAUUACAUGCAAGUCGAGCGGACAAAUGGGAGUUUGCUCCCUGAUGUUACCGGCGGACGGGUGAGUAACACGUGGGUAACCUGCCUGUAAGACUGGGAUAACUCCGGGAAACCGGGGCUAAUACCGGAUGGUUGUCUGAACCGCAUGGUUCAGACAUAAAAGGUGGCUUCGGCUACCACUUACAGAUGGACCCGCGGCGCAUUAGCUAGUUGGUGAGGUAACGGCUCACCAAGGCGACGAUGCGUAGCCGACCUGAGAGGGUGAUCGGCCACACUGGGACUGAGACACGGCCCAGACUCCUACGGGAGGCAGCAGUAGGGAAUCUUCCGCAAUGGACGAAAGUCUGACGGAGCAACGCCGCGUGAGUGAUGAAGGUUUUCGGAUCGUAAAGCUCUGUUGUUAGGGAAGAACAAGUGCCGUUCAAAUAGGGCGGCACCUUGACGGUACCUAACCAGAAAGCCACGGCUAACUACGUGCCAGCAGCCGCGGUAAUACGUAGGUGGCAAGCGUUGUCCGAAAUUAUUGGGCGUAAAGGGCUCGCAGGCGGUUUCUUAAGUCUGAUGUGAAAGCCCCCGGCUCAACCGGGGAGGGUCAUUGGAAACUGGGGAACUUGAGUGCAGAAAAGGAGAGUGGAAUUCCACGUGUAGCGGUGAAAUGCGUAAAGAUGUGGAAGGAACACCAGUGGCGAAAGGCGACUCUCUGGUUUGUAACUGACGCUGAGGAGCAAAAGCGUGGGGAGCAAACAGGAUUAAAAUACCCUGGUAGUCCAC